rnacentral:rRNA from 1 species
GACGAACGCUGGCGGCGUGCUUAACACAUGCAAGUCGAGCGGUAAGGCCCUUUCGGGGGUACACGAGCGGCGAACGGGUGAGUAACACGUGGGUGACCUGCCCUUAGCUCUGGGAUAAGCCUGGGAAACUGGGUCUAAUACCGGAUAUGACUCCAUGACGCAUGUUGUGGGGUGGAAAGCCUUGUGCGGCUAGGGAUGGGCCCGCGGCCUAUCAGCUUGUUGGUGGGGUGAUGGCCACCAAGGCGACGACGGUAGCCGGCCUGAGAGGGCGACCGGCCACACUGGGACUGAGACACGGCCCAGACUCCUACGGGAGGCAGCAGGUGGGGAAUCUUGCGCAAGUGGGACGAAAGCCUGACGCAGCGACGCCGCGUGA